GAUGAACGCUAGCGGCAGGCUUAACACAUGCAAGUCGAGGGGCAGCACGGGUAGCAAUAUCUGGUGGCGACCGGCGCAAGGGUGCGUAACGCGUGAGCAACAUGCCCGUAUCAGGGGAAUAAUCCAGGGAAACUUGGUCUAAUACCCCAUAGUCAAUACUAAAGGCAUCUUUAAUAUUUUAAAGCUUUGGUGGAUAAGGAUUGGCUCGCGUGACAUUAGCUAGAUGGUAAGGUAACGGCUUACCAAUGCUACGUUGUCUAGGGGUUCUGAGAGGAAGAUCCCCCACACUGGAACUGAGACACGGUCCAGACUCCUACGGGAGGCAGCAGUGAGGAAUAUUGGACAAUGGAUGGAAAUCUGAUCCAGCCAUGCCGCGUGCAGGAAGACGGCCCUAUGGGUUGUAAACUGCUUUUAUAUGGGAGCAAUAAGGCCUACGAGUAGGUUGAUGAGAGUACCAUAUGAAUAAGCACCGGCUAACUCCGUGCCAGCAGCCGCGGUAACAC
rnacentral:rRNA from 1 species